CAGCUCAUAUAUAGCAGUGACGAACAAAAUUUCCUACAAAAGAUCAUUCAAAAUGAGUUAAACAAGAAAACCCCGUUGGCAACUGAGAAACCAUGUAAAAGAGGAAAAGAAAAUACAAAAAUCUAAGGAAUCCAUGUGCCCAUUACUUGUAAACUUUUCUAAGCAACCAAACAGAUAAAACCAGAACAUCAAGGAUAACCCAGAGCGAGAAAUAAAUGGAAAUGAGUUCACGAGGUAAAUACCCGCCCAGUAAAGAAUAAUGUUAUGGGGUUGAUAGAGAUUAUAUGAUAAAUACAUUGAGAGAAAAUGUGAGUUAGGUUCAAAGCUGGUGAGAUUUCUGAUGAACUUUCACGGGUUCAAAGCCCAAUAACACGACCCAGAAAGAAAGAGAAAAGAAAAAGAAGGAAAGAGAAUUGAAAAAAAAAAAUGGAUGAAGGUUCUGUUUGGUUUGGUGUUUGGUGAUUGAUUCAACAAAGGAAGCUGGAGAUAGAUAUGGAUUAAACGUAGAACAUCAAAAGUCAAAAAGAAAGCAGAUAUAGACAUGGAAAGAGAAAAGAGAGCGUGUUGUUCUACAGUUAGUCUGUCUGUCUACUCCUACUUCACAUGACUCCUUUUUCC
rnacentral:lncRNA from 1 species